AUUGAACGCUGGCGGCAGGCCUAACACAUGCCAGUCGAGCGGAUGAAGGGAGCUUGCUCCUGGAUUCAGCGGCGGACGGGUGAGUAAUGCCUAGGAAUCUGCCUGGUAGUGGGGGAUAACGUCCGGAAACGGGCGCUAAUACCGCAUACGUCCUGAGGGAGAAAGUGGGGGAUCUUCGGACCUCACGCUAUCAGAUGAGCCUAGGUCGGAUUAGCUAGUUGGUGGGGUAAAGGCCUACCAAGGCGACGAUCCGUAACUGGUCUGAGAGGAUGAUCAGUCACACGGGAACUGAGACACGGUCCAGACUCCUACGGGAAGCAGCAGUGGGGAAUAUUGGACAAUGGGCGAAAGCCUGAUCCAGCCAUGCCGCGUGUGUGAAGAAGGUCUUCGGAUUGUAAAGCACUUUAAGUUGGGAGGAAGGGCAGUAAGUUAAUACCUUGCUGUUUUGACGUUACCAACAGAAUAAGCACCGGCUAACUUCGUG
rnacentral:rRNA from 1 species